AUUGAACGCUGGCGGCAUGCCUUACACAUGCAAGUCGAACGGCAGCACGGGAGCAAUCCUGGUGGCGAGUGGCGAACGGGUGAGUAAUAUAUCGGAACGUGCCCAGUCGUGGGGGAUAACGUAGCGAAAGCUACGCUAAUACCGCAUACGAUCUAUGGAUGAAAGCGGGGGAUCGCAAGACCUCGCGCGAUUGGAGCGGCCGAUAUCAGAUUAGCUAGUUGGUGGGGUAAAAGCCCACCAAGGCGACGAUCUGUAGCUGGUCUGAGAGGACGACCAGCCACACUGGAACUGAGACACGGUCCAGACUCCUACGGGAGGCAGCAGUGGGGAAUUUUGGACAAUGGGCGCAAGCCUGAUCCAGCCAUGCCGCGUGAGUGAAGAAGGCCUUCGGUUGUAAAGCUCUUUCGGCUGGGAAGAAAUCGCAUCUCCUAAUACGGGGUGUGGAUGACGGUACCAGCAUAAGAAGCACCGGCUAACG
rnacentral:rRNA from 1 species